rnacentral:rRNA from 1 species
GACGAACGCUGGCGGCGUGCUUAACACAUGCAAGUCGAACGGAAAGGCCCUGCUUUUGUGGGGUGCUCGAGUGGCGAACGGGUGAGUAACACGUGAGUAACCUGCCCUUGACUUUGGGAUAACUUCAGGAAACUGGGGCUAAUACCGGAUAGGAGCUCCUGCUGCAUGGUGGGGGUUGGAAAGUUUCGGCGGUUGGGGAUGGACUCGCGGCUUAUCAGCUUGUUGGUGGGGUAGUGGCUUACCAAGGCUUUGACGGGUAGCCGGCCUGAGAGGGUGACCGGCCACAUUGUGACUGAGAUACGGACCAGACUCCUACGGGAGGCAGCAGUGGGGAUUAUUGCACAGUGGGCGGAAGCCUGAUGCAGCAACGCCGGGUGCGGGAUGACGGCCUUCGGGUUGUAAACCGCUUUCGCCUGUGACGAAGCGUGAGUGACGGUAAUGGGUAAAGAAGCACCGGCUAACUACGUG